UGGGGAAUAUUGGACAAUGGGCGAAAGCCUGAUCCAGCCAUGCCGCGUGUGUGAAGAAGGUCUUCGGAUUGUAAAGCACUUUAAGUUAGGAGGAAGGGCAGUAAGCGAAUACCUUGCUGUUUUGACGUUACCGACAGAAUAAGCACCGGCUAACUCUGUGCCAGCAGCUGCGGUAAUACAGAGGGUGCAAGCUUUAAUCGGAAUUACUGGGCGUAAAGCGCGCGUAGGUGGUUCGUUAAGUUGAAUGUGAAAGCCCCGGGCUCAACCUGGGAACUGCAUCCAAAACUGGCGGGCUAGAGUGGGGCAGAGGGUGGUGGAAUUUCCUGUGUAGCGGUGAAAUGCGUAGAUAUAGGAAGGAACACCAGUGGCGAAGGCGACCACCUGGGCUCAUACUGACACUGAGGUGCGAAAGAGUGGGGAGCAAACAGG
rnacentral:rRNA from 1 species